AUGGACUGCUGCUGCCGCGCAGGCCGCCCGGACUUGGUGGUUGCCUUCUUCGGCCGCCUCCUCAGGUUGGGGCUGCGCUUGGAGGUCAUCUCCUUCAGCAAUCUCCUUAAGGGGCUCUGCCAGGCCAAGCGUACAAAUGAGGCGGUGGACUUGCUGCUCCACCGGACACCUGAACUGGACUGUGUGCCUAAUGUCUUCUCGUACAGCAUCGUAAUCAACGGCUGUUUUAAAGAAGGUGAAGUAGACAAAGCGUGCAAUCUCUUCCAUGGGAUGAUCCAACUGGGAGUUCAACCUAAUGUGGUCAUCUACACCUCAAUUAUCGAUGCACUAAGCAAGUGCGGAGCCAUGGACAAGGCAGAAGUGGUCUUUCGGCAAAUGGUUGAUAAAGGUAUUGGACCCGAUGUCAUGACAUGCACUAGUCUGAUCCAUGGAUAUUCCAUUUCGGGUAGGUGGAAGGCGGCAGUAAGGGUAUUCAAAGAGAUGAUAAGUCUUGGUGUUGUACCAGAUACCGUCAUGUGGAACUCAUUUGUGGAUUCACUUUGCAAGCAUAGAAGGACAAAGGAAGCUAGAGUUAUUUUUGACUCCAUGGCUGCAAAGGGCCAGAAACCUGAUACUGUCUCCUACUCUAUUAUGCUUAACGGGUAUGUGAAAGAAGGAUGCUUUGAUGAUAUGACCGGUCUCUUCAAUUCGAUGCUACAGAACGGUGUUGUACCUAACCACCAUAUUUUCAACAUACUGAUCAAUGCAUAUGCUAAACGUGGACUGAUGGAUGAGGCUAUGCACAUGUUCGAAGUAAUGAGGCAACAAGGAGUAAACCCAGAUGUAGUUGACUAUCUAGUAGUAAUGGAUUCACUUUGCAAAAUGGGUAGGAUGGAUGCUGCUCUGGACAAAUUUAAUCAGAUGGUCAAUCAAGGAGUUUCACCUAACAAAGCUGUUUACCAAUGCCUGGUUCUGGGUUCUUGCUCUCAUGGUGAUUUUGUGAAAGCCAAGGAAUUGAUUUCUGAAGCACUUAAUAGAGGUCUCUGUUCUAACAGUGUGUUCUUCUAUCCUGUAAUAAACGACCUGUGCAAAGAAGGAAAGGUGAAGGAGGCACAGGAUAUGUUUGACUUCAUUGUAGGUAUUGGUCAGCGGCCCGAUGUGAUUAUGUACAAUUCACUGAUGGAUGGAUAUUGCCUUGUUGGCAAGGUGGAGGAAGCACUGAGAGUACUUGAUGCUAUGAAGUCUGCUGGCCUCCAACCUGAUGCUAUUAUGUAUGUUUCUGCAAAGGAAAAAUUUGAUACGAUGAUUGAAAGUGGCAUACCAGUGGGCAUUGACACAUACAACAUAGUUCUUAGUGGACUUUGUAAAAACAAUUGCACUGAUGAAGCAAUAGAGCUAUUCAAGAAAUUACGUGCUAUGAACGUGAAGAUUGAUGUCAUAACUCUCAAUACCAUGAUUUCUGCAAUGUUUAAAACUAGGAGAAUUGAAGAAGCCAAGGAUUUGUUUGCUACUAUAUCAGCCAUUGGGUUAGUGCCUUCUGUUGUAACUUACAUUUUAAUGAUAACGAAUUUCAUUAAAGAAGGGCUGCUAGCAGAGGCUGAUGAUAUGUUUUUAGCAAUGGAGAAGGCUGGAUGUGCUCCAAACUCCAGUUUGCUAAAUCAAGUGGUCAGAGUGUUGCUGGAAAAAGGUGCAGCUGUACAGGCUGCAACUUAUCUGGCUAAAAUUGAUGCAAAACAUCUGUCACUUGAAGCUUCAACGGUUUCGUUAAUAAUAUCUCUCUUCUCAAGGAAAGGGGAACUAUGGGAGCAUGUAAAAUUGCUUCCGGUAAAGUACCAGCCUCCUGAGAUGUUCGACUGA
rnacentral:rRNA from 1 species